AAUUGCAAUAUUGGGAAGCCCACCUGAACACCAGUUGAAUUUCAGCAGUGAGCCACUUACAUCAUUCCUGCUUCUCAAUACUGUGUUCAGAAGUAUAUCCAGAAAGUGCCAUUUUAGUGAUUCAUCCUUUGAAAGUUGCCACCUUACAUGUCAAAAGCAGAUUUGCACUGACGUAAAACUUAAUGACUUUAACACCAUGGAAGGGGAAAAAUUGCCGUAUGGAAUUGAACAAUGGAAGAACUCUCACUAGUGGAUGCGAGGAUUAGUUCUAGGAAUGCCGACAGCAUGGUGAAAACCGACAAGAACCUUCUAGUUCACGUCUUAACUCUAGUCCAUACUCAAUACUUCUUAGUGAACAAUGGAAACAUUUCGAAAGUCCAUGUGGAAUGAUCAUCAUAAUAACAUGCAGGUAAAACUUACUCCUCGGCAAUAUAUUUGAUGAGGGCAUGGUUUCAGGUCACAAUAACUUUAUAUAAUUCUUAAAAUUUCGAGCGAUUCCAAAUCCGAAGCACCACGAGAGAGAGAGAGGUUUGGAAACCAGCAAGCGAGUAUCACUUUUAGCAGACAAAGUAAAUAAGGACUAGUUUUCGUACGUUGGCCAGUAGCACCGAACAUCCGUUUCCUUGUUGAAGUUGUUCCAGUUUAAUUUUGCCAGCGUGAUUGAGCUAACUCCUCCUUGGGUAAGAUGGUAAAAUUUCAGAGAACUGUAUUUUUUUCUGAUAUUGGACUAUGACAAACUUUCUGGAAGUAAAUGGAAUUUUGAUGUUU